rnacentral:rRNA from 1 species
UACGUAGGCAGCAAGCGUUGUUCGGAGUUACUGGGCGUAAAGGGUGCGUAGGUGGCUCUAUAAGUAUGGUGUGAAAUCUCCCGGCUUAACUGGGAGGGUGCGCCGUAGACUGUGGGGCUAGAGUGUGGGAGAGGAAAGUGGAAUUCCUGGUGUAGCGGUGAAAUGCGUAGAUAUCAGGAGGAACACCGGUGGUGUAAACGGCUUUCUGGACCAUAAACUGACACUGGAGGCACGAAAGCGUGGGGAGCGAACAGG